GUAUUUAACCAGAAAGCCCCGGCUAACUACGUGCCAGCAGCCGCGGUAAUACGUAGGUGGCAAGCGUUAUCCGGAUUUAUUGGGCGUAAAGCGAGGGCAGGCGGUCUUUUAAGUCUAAAGUGAAAGCCUUCGGCUCAACCGAAGAAGUGCAUUGGAAACUGGGAGACUUGAGUGCAGAAGAGGACAGUGGAACUCCAUGUGUAGCGGUGAAAUGCGUAGAUAUAUGGAAGAACCCCAGUGGCGAAGGCGGCUGUCUGGUCUGCAACUGACGCUGAGGCUCGAAAGCAUGGGUAGCGAACAGGAUUAGAUACCCUGGUAGUCCAUGCCGUAAACGAUGAUUACUAAGUGUUGGAGGGUUUCCGCCCUUCAGUGCUGCAGCUAACGCAUUAAGUAAUCCGCCUGGGGAGUACGACCGCAAGGUUGAAACUCAAAAGAAUUGACGGGGGCCCGCACAAGCGGUGGAGCAUGUGGUUUAAUUCGAAGCUACGCGAAGAACCUUACCAGGUCUUGACAUCUUCUGACAGUCUAAGAGAUUAGAGGUUUCCUUCGGGGACAGAAUGACAGGUGGUGCAUGGUUGUCGUCAGCUCGUGUCGUGAGAUGUUGGGUUAAGUCCCGCAACGAGCGCAACCCUUAUUACUAGUUGCCAGCAUUAAGUUGGGCACUCUAGUGAGACUGCCGGUGACAAACCGGAGGAAGGUGGGGACGACGUCAAAUCAUCAUGCCCCUUAUGACCUGGGCUACACACGUGCUACAAUGGAUGGUACAACGAGUCGCGAGACCGCGAGGUUAAGCUAAUCUCUUAAAACCAUUCUCAGUUCGGACUGUAGGCUGCAACUCGCCUACACGAAGUCGGAAUCGCUAGUAAUCGCGGAUCAGCAUGCCGCGGUGAAUACGUUCCCGGGCCUUGUACACACCGCCCGUCACACCAUGAGAGUUUGUAACACCCAAAGCCGGUGGGGUAACCUUUAGGAGCUAGCCGUCUAAGGUGACAGAGAUGGG
rnacentral:rRNA from 1 species